rnacentral:lncRNA from 1 species
GAGCAGUUUUGAGUGAGUUUCUUAAUCCUGAGUUCCAGUUUGAGUGCACCGUGGUCUGAGAGACAGUUUGUUAUAAUUUCCAUUCUUUUACAUUUGCUGAGGAGUGCUUUGCUUCCAACUAUGUGGUCAAUUUUGGAAUAAGUGUGAUGUGGUGCUGAGAAGAAUGUAUAUUCUGUUGACUUAGGAUGGAGAGUUCUGUAGAUGUCUAUUAGGUCCACUUGGUGCAGAGCUGAGUUCAAUUCCUGGAUAUCUUUGUUAACUUUCUGUCUCAUGGAUCUGUCUAAAGUUGACAGUGUGGUGUUAAAGUCUCCCAUUAUUAUUGUGUGGGAGUCUAAGUCUCCUUGUAGGUCUCUAAGGACUUGCUUUAUGAAUCUGGGUGCUCCUGUAUUGGGUGCAUAUAUAUUUAGGAUUGUUAGCUCUUCUUGUUGAAUUGAUCCCUUUACCAUUAUGUAAUGGCCUUUUUUGUCUCUUCUGACCUUUGUUGGUUUAAAGUCUGUUUUAUCAGAGACUAGAAUUGUAACCCCUGCUUUUUUUUGUUUUCCAUUUGCUUGGUAGAUCUUCCCUUUAUUUUGAGCCUAUGUGUGUCUCUGCAUGUGAGAUGAGUCUCCUGAAUACAGCACACUGAUGAGUCUUGAUUCUUUAUCCAAUUUGCCAGUCUGUGUCUUUUAAUUGGAGCAUUCAUCCCAUUUACAUUUAAGGUUAAUAUUGUUAUGUGUGAAUUUGAUCCUGUCAUUAUGAUGUUAGCUGGUUAUUUUGCUCGUUAGUUGAUGCAGUUUUUUCCUAGCAUUGAUGGUCCUUACAACUUGGCAUGUUUUUGCAGUGGUUGGUACCGGUUGUUCCUUUCCAUGUUUAGUGCUUCCUUCAGUAGCUCUUUUAGGGCAGGCCUGGUGGUGACAAAAUCUGUCAGCAUUUGCUUGUCUGUAAAGGAUUUUAUUUCUCCCUCACUUAUGAAGCUUAGUUUGGCUGGAUAUGAAAUUCUGGGUUGAACAUUCUUUUCUUUAAGAAUGUUGAAUUUUGGCCCCCACUCUGUUCUGGCUUGUAGAGUUUCUGCUGAGAGAUCCGCUGUCAGUCUGAUGGGCUUCCCUUUGUGGGUAACCCGACCUUUCUCUCUGGCUGCCCUUAACAUUUUUUCCAUCAUUUCAACUUUGGUGAGUCUGAAAAUUAUGUGUCUUGGAGUUGCUCUUCUCAAGGAGUAUCUUUGUGGCAUUCUCUGUAUUUCCUGAAUCUGAAUGUUGGCCUGCCUUGCUAGAUUGCAGAAGUUCUCCUGAAUAAUAUCCUGAAGAGUGUUUUCCAAGUUGGUUCCAUUCUCCCUGUCACUUUCAGGUACACAAAUCAGAUGUAGAUUUGGUCUUUUCACAUAGUCCCAUAUUUCUUGGAGGCUUUGUUCAUUUCUUUUUACUCUUUUUUCUCUAAACUUCUCUUCUCGCUUCAUUUCAUUCAUUUGAUCUUCAGUCACUGAUACCCUUUCUUCCAGUUGAUCAAAUCGGCUACUGAAGCUUGUGCAUGCGUCACGUAGUUCUUGUGCCAUGGUUUUCAGCUCCAUCAGGUCAUUUAUGGUCUUCUCCAUGCUGUUUAUUCUAGUUCGCCAUUCAUCCAAUCUUUUUUCAAGGUUUUUAGCUUCUUUACAAAGGGUUCGAACAUCCUCCUUUAACUCAGAGAAGUUUGUUAUUACUGAUCUUCUGAAGUCUUCUCUCAACUCGUCAAAGUCAUUCUCCAUCCGGCUUUGUUCCGUUGCUGGUGAGGUGCUGUGUUCCUUUGGAGGAGAAGAGGUGCUCUCAUUUUUAGAAUUUUCAGCUUUUGUGCUCUGAAUUCUCCCCAUCCUUGUGGUUUUAUCUACCUUUGGUUUUUGAUGAUGGUGAUGUACAGAUGGGGUUUUGGUGUGGUUGUCCUUUCUGUUUGUUAGUUUUCCUUCCGACAGUCAGGACCCUCAGCUGCAGGUGUGUUGGAGUUUGCUGGAGGUCCACUCCAGACCCUGUUUGCCUGGGUAUCACCAGCAGAGGCUGCAGAACCACAAAUAUUGUGGAACGGCAAAUGUUUCUGCCUGAUCCUUCCUCUGGAAGCUUCGUCUCGGAGGGGCACCCGGCCAUAUGAGGUGUCCAUCCACCCCUACUGGGCGUUGCCACCCAGUUAGGCUACUCGGAGGUCUGGGACCCACUUGAGGAGGCAGUCUGUCCGUUCUUAGAUCUCGAACUCCAUACUGGGAGAAGCACUACGCUCUUCAAAGCUGUCAGACAGGGAUGUUUAAGUCUGCAGAAGUUUCUGCUGCCUUUUGUUCAGCUAUGCCCUGCCCCCAGAGGUGGAGUCUACAGACGCAGGCAAGCCUACUUGAACUGCAGAGGGCUCCUCCCAGUUCGAGCUUCCCUGCCACUUUGUUUACCUACUCAAGCCUCAGCAAUGGCAGGUGCCUCUCCCCCACCCUCACUGCCGCCUUGCAGUUCAAUCUCAGACUGCUGUGCUAGCAGUGAGCCAGGCACAGGAUCUAAUCUCCUGGUGUGCCAUUUGCUAAGACCAUUGAAAAAGUGCAGUAUUAGGGUGGAAGUGACCCGAUUUUCCAGGUGCCAUCUGUCACGGCUUCCCUUGGCUAGGAAAGGGAAUUCCCUGACCCCUUGCACUUCCCGGGUGAGGUGAUGCCUCGCCCUGCUUCAGCUCACACUCCGUGGGCUGCACCCACUAUCCAACAAGCCCCAGUGAAAUGAACCCGGUACCUCAGUUGGAAAUGCAGAAAUCACCCAUCUUCUGCAUCGCUCACACUGGAAGCUGUAGACUGGAGCUGUUCCUAUUCGGCUGUCUUGUAACCUCCCCGACUUGUGGCUUUUUCAAUUAUCCAUUUCUCUUUUCAGAAGUGUGGAAGCACCACCAAGUAAGAUCCCAGCAUUUUCAAAAGAUUUAGGACAGAAAAUGGAAACAUGAUCAAUAAAGGUUAGUUUCCAAUGCUGAAUCUAGCAAUCAGGGGCUUAGGAAAUUAAUUUACAUAUUGAAGAGAUAUGAUCUUCUGUUCAUGCUGAUAAUGCAGGUUUUACUGGUUAAGCUCAGAAUAGGUAAAAAUAAAAAGUAUUUGCUGGCCUGAAGAAAGAAGUCUGUGGGAAAGUAAAGAUGUAAGAAGUGGGAAAGACAUGCAUUCAUUUCAGUUAGAAAUACCAGCAAAGAGAAAAAGGAGAUAGAAAUCAUUGGAGGCAAGGGAAUUGAGGGAACUCCUUCUAGAUGGCUUCCACUUCAGCAGACUAGGAGUCAUGGUUACAUGCAGAAAAUGAUGUUGAAAAGCAUGGAAAUUUCAUACAUUCAUGUUGGAAAAUCUAAGAGGAGGUUAUUAGGAGGUAGCUUUCUUCUUAAGACACUUUUAAUAUUUUUGACAUUUUUUAUCAUUUUGCUUAUACUCCAUCCCGAUUACAGUUCACCAACACCAGAGCUAACAGAGAAAUUAUAAACUUCCAGGGUAGUGUUUCUCAAAACAUGGUUCCUAGCUAUUAAUGCAAGAAUCUUUUAGGGAACUUGUUUAUACAAAGACUUCUGAAACCCACCCAGGCCUAUUCAACAGAAUCUCUGGGGCCCAAUGCCUGAGAAUCUGCACCUUUACGAGUUGCUCAGGUGAUUCUGAAGCAGCAAGCCAGCAUUUGACGGGAGGCUGCUGUUUUAGAACCACUAGAUUAGCUCAUGUCUCAUCCAGGUAGUCUCAUGCAUGACUAUUCACCCACAUCCUGUUUUUAAUCAGUGGUUCUGUCUGUAGUUUUGAAACUCAGAAUAAAAUGUCACAUAUUGUGGUGAGGAAAUAACAACCAUGUCUUCAAAUACAGCUGGUUGGGAUCAGAUCCCUACUCAUUAUCAUUUUCUAUGUUUUUCCUAUUUUUAGUUUAUACUUUUAAAAUUUACUUACAUCAUUUAUUGAUAACCAAAAAUGGUAGAGUUAUUAUAAUUAAGCAAUUUUUAUAAUAAUAAAUAGCAUUGUCUAGCAAGCUCAUUUCUUUUUUUUAUUAUUAUACUUUAAGUUUUAGGGUACAUGUGCACAACAU